UUAACUUUUCCAGCUAUGGGUAGAAAUGAAAAUGCUGCAUGUUUCUGCUGUGCUUUUCAUCUCAGCAUCUUGAAGUACCUGGCAAGCAUCAAUUACUCUGAGCCUCUGAUCGAGAUUUUUAUUUCUGUACGAUACAAGAAGGCUCCUCCGAGGACCUGGGUCACCAACUCGGCAUUUGGAUAGCUUGCAUAAAAGCCUUCAAAUGAGUUCCUCAUUUUCCUCGCAGUGGCGUGACAGCAGGCAUAGCUGAGCUUCAAGAGUCUCCUGUGAACAGCAGGAUUUGAACCUGUGACUUUCAGCAUCCAGCGCACAGGCUUCUACCUUAUGAGUUUCCUCUGAAAAAUCUGGGACUGAGCACUGUUGCACAGGAUAUUGGACUAGAUAGACCAUUGGUCUGAUGUGAUGCAUCACAGAAGCUAGUGACUGGGAACUGCCUCGUGAAACCUCUCUUCUUCCUGGUGUCAGGUUUUGCUCAGGUUAGUAUCCUUUGUAGAAGAGGUUCUAUUGGAUGAUGAUGAUCUUGUGUUUAUCAUCAAAUGAACUUUCAGAUUCUAUUCCCUUCCCUACAACCUAUUCCAUGCCUUGACUAUCUCUCCAGCACUCAAAAUUAGUGGAUAGAAAUAAAAUCUUUUUUAAAAAGGAUUAUUAAAUAAAUGGAUUUUAAUUUCAGUAGCUACAGCAUGUCCAGAGGCAGGAGGGCCUUCCUCCUUCACGGCUACUGACUUAAGAUUAAAUCACAGGAAGCUGCAUGACCCUUUAACUACUUCCUGUUGGAAUUCCAUGUCAACUGGCACAUUCUUAUUUUGUGUCUAUGUUGGGACUUGGGCUGGGAAAGCAGGAUGCUUUAGGCGAACUUAGUGUAAACUAUUAGCUGGGAAAUCCUGCUUCUUUUGUUACUCAACAUGUUACAAUAUCCUUUUGCUUCACCACUUGUCCAAGGCUGUAUGCGUAGUCGUUUCCUUUACCACAUUUUAUCCCAAGACGUGUGUCUUAAGGAACAGCAACCCUGUUGGAGGGCUUGAUUCUCCGUGGCUUUGCACCUUGACUUAACCUGUUUUACCAUUUCAGAGUGCUAGUGUGUCU